UAAGGAAUAUUGGUCAAUGGACGCAAGUCUGAACCAGCCAUGCCGCGUGAAGGAUGAAGGUCCUCUGGAUUGUAAACUUCUUUUAUCUGGGACGACAACGGGAUUUUUAUCUCAAUUGACGGUACCAGAGGAAUAAGCACCGGCUAACUCCGUGCCAGCAGCCGCGGUAAUACGGAGGGUGCGAGCGUUAUCCGGAUUUACUGGGUUUAAAGGGUGCGUAGGUGGGCUUAUAAGUCAGUGGUGAAAUCUCCGAGCUUAACUUGGAAACUGCCGUUGAUACUAUAGGUCUUGAAUUAUCUGGAGGUAAGCGGAAUAUGUCAUGUAGCGGUGAAAUGCUUAGAUAUGACAUAGGACACCAAUUGCGAAGGCAGCUUACUACAUAUAAAUUGACGCUGAGGCACGAAAGCGUGGGGAUCAAACA
rnacentral:rRNA from 1 species